CCUACGGGAGGCUGCAGUGGGGAAUCUUGCGCAAUGGGCGAAAGCCUGACGCAGCAACGCCGCGUGCGGGAUGACGGCCCUCGGGUUGUAAACCGCUUUCAGCAGGAACGAAUCUGACGGUACCUGCAGAAGAAGGUCCGGCCAACUACGUGCCAGCAGCCGCGGUAACACGUAGGGACCAAGCGUUGUCCGGAUUUAUUGGGCGUAAAGAGCUCGUAGGCGGUUCGGUAAGUCGGGUGUGAAAACUCUGGGCUCAACUCGGAGAGGCCACCCGAUACUGCCGUGACUUGAGUCCGGUAGGGGAGCACGGAAUUCCUGGUGUAGCGGUGAAAUGCGCAGAUAUCAGGAGGAACACCGGUGGCGAAGGCGGUGCUCUGGGCCGGUACUGACGCUGAGGAGCGAAAGCGUGGGUAGCAAACAGGAUUAGAUACCCUUGUAGUC
rnacentral:rRNA from 1 species